AGCAGGCAGCGCGCGGUUCUGUCUACUACAGAUUGAUGUGGAAGUGGAAGAACCAGAGACGUCGGAGAACCCGACGAAGUCCUUUGUGAUUCAUUAUAUCGUAUGGACGUGCACACAGCUUUUGGCCGUGAUAAUAUGUAUUAUUUGAUAUAGAUAUCUAUGUAUUAUAUGAUAUUAUUUAGAUAUAGAGCUCCAGGACUGUAACGCAAGUGUUGUACAUUUCCUUGUUAUUUGGAUAACCGUUCUGCUGUUGGUGUGAUGGCGCACGUCGGACUCUUGUCUAUGGUAUUUCUACAACUAGACCCGUAGUGGGGGUUUUCUCAGCCAUGGUUGAGAAUGAAUUGGGGGAAAGGAACUUUGGCUUUGACUCCCUGAAGUCAUGAACCACGACAUGGAGGAGAAAGGGAUUGUUGACCGCGGUCGUCUCCCGCCGGAGCCUCGCUGCCGAUGGACCACCGCCUCGGCUUCAGGAUGCGGUGAUUAGCGCUGACCGCUGCCGAGGCGGCGGGAAGCAGGGCUCAAGCGGGAUACAUUCGCGGCCAACAAUCCCUUUCUCCUCCAUGUCGUGGUUCAUGUAGCCUACUUCAGGGAAUAUCUAUAUCAAAUAAUACAUCACGGCCAAAAGCUGUGUGCGCGUCCAGACGAUAUAAUGAAUCACAAAGGAGUUCGUCUCUGGUUCUUCCACUUCCACAUCAAUCUGAAGUAGACGCGGUCGUUUGAGAUUCAUAAUAACCUAUCGUCUGGAGGCUCACACAGCUUUUGGCCGUGAUAAUAUAUAUUAUAUAUUAUAUGAUAUAGAUAUCUAUGUAUAAUAUGGGUUUCUAAGAGCCAUUGCGAUACAUCCACCGUAAACAGAGCGCAUGGUACCGUGGCUACAAGCUGCUCAGGGCCAGGUGAUAAUAUUAUAUAUUAUAUGAUAUAGAUAUCUAUGUAUAAUAUGGGUUUCUACGAGCCAUUGCGAUACAUCCACCGUAAACAGGGCGCAUGGUACUGUCAGUGGCUACAAGCUGCUCAGGGCCACCCCCCCACCCCCCUCCUUGACCUGCCUUGACACGCCCACCGUAUACAGAGCGCAUGGUAGUGGCUACAAGCUGCUCAGGGCCACACCCCCACCCCCCUCCUUGACCUGCCUUGACACGCCCACCGAAACAGCGCGUUUGGGGGAAGCUCAAUGUGCGACUGU